CAGUCGCCGCGGGAAUACGUAGGUGGCAAGCGUUGUCCGGAAUUAUUGGGCGUAAAGGGCUCGCAGGCGGUUUCUUAAGUCUGAUGUGAAAGCCCCCGGCUCAACCGGGGAGGGUCAUUGGAAACUGGGAAACUUGAGUGCAGAAGAGGAGAGUGGAAUUCCACGUGUAGCGGUGAAAUGCGUAGAGAUGUGGAGGAACACCAGUGGCGAAGGCGACUCUCUGGUCUGUAACUGACGCUGAGGAGCGAAAGCUAGGGGAGAAAAUGGGAUUAGAGACCCCAGUAGUCCCUGUCUCUUAUAC
rnacentral:rRNA from 1 species